GUUGCAAAUCCUGUUUAUUUAAAUAUUUACAACUCCUCAUUAUCUUUGAACAAGUUAUCCAUGCUUGUAGCCAAGCAAUAGUUAAGCUAUUGCUAAACAGAGUCCCCAGAAUUGCAUCUGUAGCUACUGUAUUCAUCCAAAGGGAGGAUACUAGUAUUGUUCCCACAUAGAUAGUAUCACUAUUUCCUUCAUUGUUUAUAACCCUCAUUUUAUAUAUAUAUAUUUUAUAUGCAUAUACAUAUGCAUUAUAUAUGCAUAUAUAUUUUUUAUAUAUGCAUUUAUUUCAAAAUUCUCUCUGUAAUGAAUGCUUUGAUUUUUCCAUGUGGGAUGAGCUUUUGUCAUCUGAUUGUUCUACUCCAACACAAAUUCAAAACAGCACAGCAAAGAUCUAUAAAAUAUCUAGAUUACAGCUCUAGAUAAUCUCUCUAAUAUCUAGAAUUCUAAGAUAUGUUAUCUUUAACUAUUAAUGGGAUCUAUUUAAGACUGCUCUUUUCAAGAUCAGUAUUAUUACUAUCUAUGUCCACUGUAUAUAGACAAUGGAUAUUUUUCCUUCGAAAACAUGAAAAGGGAAUUGUGGCUUAUUGAAAGUAUUAGUAUGAACUCAUGAAUUUAAUAUGUUUAAAUGUACUUAAUAUAUCACAUAUACAUACAUUCAAAUAUUUCCUUUUACAUUUCUUAGCUCUGUCUACUGAAAGAGACUAGAAACAAUGGCCAAUUAAUAGCAAUAUACAAGUCAAAUACCCAGAUCUUCUUUCUAAAUAUAAUUUGUCACUAGAAAGAACCAAGGCUCCUUGAAGGAAAGGCAGAUUUCAGAGCUGGGGAAGACAAAUAACAAAAUAAUAUGGAACAUCUUGUACCUUAGAAAACAUGGAAGUACUUAAAGAAUGAGAGGGACGGCUGGGUGUGGCAGCUCACGCCUGUAAUCCCAGCACUUUGGGAGGCCGAGGCGAUGGAUCAUUUGAGGUCAGGAGAUCGAGGCCAGCCUGACCAACAUGGUGAAAGCCUGUCUCUACUAAAAAUACAAAAAAAAUUAGCCAGGCAUGGUUGCACAUGCCUGUAGUCCCAGUUGCUCGGGAGGCUGAGGGAGGAGAAUUGCUUGAACCUGGGAGAUAGAGGUUGCAGUGAGCCAAGAUUGUGCCAUUGCACUCCAGGCUGGGAGACAGAGCAAGACUCAGUCUCUAAAUAAAUAAAUAAAUAAAUAAAUAAAUAAAUAAAUAAAUAAGUAAAUAAAAAUAAAGAAUCAGAGGGACAUGUUGAAAGGGCAAGGUACCCAGCUUUAAGGAACCCUGCUGGCCAAAUUUUGGAAAAUUUGAGCAUCAAAAUGAAGAAUAUUAGCAUAAAGUCUAACCUAUUAAAUUAAUUAAGAAUCCAGGACUCUGUACUGAUAUAAACUUUAAAAAUAAAGAGAUAAAGGGACUGAUAUUAAAGGCUCACAUAUCAUGCCAGGUAAUACCAAUGACUUUAAGGAAGACCUGCAUAGUAGAAGCCUCUCUAAAGAAAUUAUAUAAACCUGAAUGACUGGUAAAAGCAAGAAGAAACAGAGUGAAGACUGAAAGACAAAACUCUCUUUAAUUCUUUUCUUCUCCUGCUCCCUUGUUUCUCUUGGCUCAAUUUACUAUGACAGUAACUAUGGUAUUUCACUUAUACAAUGUUGUAGAAUUAGGAACUGCCAGAAAAGAGGUUUCUAAGGGAACUUCCUGAAUGUUUUCACUUUACAUGUAUUAUCGCAGUGGGUUUGUCACUGAAAACAGACCAAUGAAAAAAUCUCCUUGAAAGCAAAUCAUUGUUCCUUCUUCCCAACUCUUGCUACAUCUCUGACCAUUUUUCCUCUCAGUUCCUCAUCCAGCUAAUCUAUUUCUCCCAGGGACUUAAGAAUUGGAGAAACUCUCAGGUUCCAUGUUAAGAACUCAAGUUCUGGUAAAUGUAAUGCAAUGAAUAUCUCAAACAUAAUUCCACUUCUAUAACUUAAAAAGAAAUCAUGAAUUCAGCGAAUUAGUAACUGGCUUUCAAUGCCAACAUAUUUAAAAGUAGGCUGAAAAUAUAUCAUAAGGUAUGCUAUAUGAAAAGUUGAGUUUAAAAUUGUAUGUCAAAAAUUACUUGAUCUUUACACAAUAUUUCCAUGAGUUCGGUUUGCAUUAAAUAUGAACGAUCAUAUUUAAUAUUUUAUUGUUUUACAUUAAAUAAUGGUAAUAUUCUAAUGGCUAUUGGAUUUUAAAUAGAACAAAUAUAUCAUGGAAACUUCUGAAAAUAAAUUCCAUCUUGUGUUAAAUCAUAAUAACAAAAAGAUAUUAUAAUCACUUAUUUAAAAAUGAUUUGUGAGUAACUACUACUAAUACUACAUACUACAUAGUAAUAGCACUCUGUAGUACUUCUAAUAUGUUGGAACAUAUGUGCCCAGAGAUGAAUUAAUAAUGUCUCUGUCCUAAAGAACCUCACCAGUGAUAAAAGCAGACAUGUAAAUCAGUAAUUGCAAAGAAAUGUGUCAACUGCACAAGACAAUGGCAGCUUAAAAAUUGAACAAUUCAAUGGGUGGUAGGCAGGAGACAGUGAGAAGCGGCCUCCUAAAGUAGAGGAUGCUUGAAGGGGAGUUUCAAAGAUGAGUUCGUUAUCAGGAAAGAACGAAUGCAUGAGAAGAAUAUUAAACAAUGAAAACAGCAUACGCAAAGUCACAUAUGCAUGGAUUAGCACAAUAUAUGGUGGGAAUGGGUUAGGGAAGUUUUAAAUUUUAAGUGGGAACCAAAUUGUGGAAACCCUUAUGAACUAACCUAAGAAGUAGUAUAACUGAAGGCAUGAAAGAAUCAAAGUGAAAAGAAUUUUCAUUUCUCCUGGGCCUGAAAAGUCUUUCCUCCAGAUUUUUGUACAACUAGAUACUGUUCAUUAUUCAAGUCCUGGCCUAAAACACUUCCUAAGAGAAGCUCUCCCUUACCAUCCAGCUAAAGUAGUGCCACACUAUCAUAUCCACCUGUUAACUUUCCAUUUCCUUUGUUUGUAAAGCUUUCGAUAUAGAAACAUACAAUAAAUACCAAUUUUACAACUUCAUGUAGCAUACACAAACAUCUCCUUGAUUCUUGCAAAUUAGACUGAGAAAAUCGUGGAAAUUGCUAAGCAACGUUUGGUGUAGUGCAAACUCUAGGGAUUUGCUGGCUGGCAACAUUCCCUUCAUCCUGUAAUGAACAUAUUUUGUUCAGUAGUAGCCAUAUGAGUAUGACUAAAGCAAAGAGACCCAUUCAGAGAUAUUUGCAUUUUCUUAACACAGAAAGAAAACUUUAGUGCAAAAUUAUCAGAUAGUAUGAUAAAACAUAGUGAAACAUUUUGGGGAGGGUGGAAAAGAUGUUUCUAGCCCACUAAAUCAUACCUCAUAUGCAAAACUUUCUGCUUUUCAAGAGAGACCUACAUUUGUCUCCAGAGAAGAGGACUGGGAAAUAAAUCUCCAUUAGUCCUAGGAAAUGUAAACUUCUUUUAUUUAGCUUUUCCUGAUGAAGUGUAGGUUCAGGGAAUUUUCAUAUAUAAACCAUUAUCCUUUAAAAUAUGUGGGGGCUUAUAAACGUAAUAUAUCUGUUGUUCUUUGGUCUGUAAAAUAUUUCAAUAAAUUAUUGAACUCUUGAAGCCACGAAAUCAAACAAACUAAAUAUAUGGUGUCUUUUACUUCUUCAAUUUUCAUUUUAAAAUCCCCAAACACCUAUUGUUAACAAAUGAAGGAAACAUUUCCUUAUUUCCUGAUCAUCCCUACCAAAAUAUUGUUGACAAUAGAAAAAAAUUAAUUAUGGCCUAUAGUAGGAAGCAUAGUCAUUAACAGUAUGUCCUGGAAAUUUUAAAAUUUUAUUAAAAUGCCUAAUCUCUACACUAUAAAAUAUAUGCAAACAAUAAACUAGAUUGGUAUAUGCAAACAAUUUAAGAUUGAAACUAGAUAGGAUUAAUUUAUAGAACAUAUAUAGCUAUUAAUUGAUCAAUAUCUUAAUGAAAAUUAACAGUGCAUAAAAAUAUUCAUAAUUGUCCUUAAAGAACAUGAACUAGGCCGGGCACCGUGGUUCACGUCUGUAAUCCCAGAACUUUGGGAGGCCGAGGCAGGUGGAUUAUCUGAGGUCAGGAGUUCAAGACCAGCCUGACCAACAUGGUGAAACCCCGUCUCUACUAAAAACAACAACAACAACAAAAAUAGAAAAAAAUUAGCUGGGCAUGGUGGCGGGCACCUGUAAUCCCAGCUACUCAGGAGGCUGAGGCAGGAGAAUUGUUUGAACCCAGGAGGUAGAGGUUGCAGUGAGCUGAGAUCAUGCUGCUGCACUCUAGCCUGGGUGCAACAGAGUGAGACUCCGUCUCAAAGAAAAAAAAAAAGAAUAUGAGCUAAAUUUUAUCACAUAUUUAUGUAAAAUUUUGAAUUGUAUCAUACGUAUUUAUUCACAGCAUACUUUUAUUUACCAAAGUACAUCGUACAUUAUACAAAUCUUAAUUACAUUUACAUUAUACAUUUAUAAUAUUAAAAUUGUGCGAGUAGUCUUCAAAUAUCUGACAACUUUGGGGUCAGUGAAUUAUUUAAGAAAAAACUCAGAAGAGUUUUGAAAAAGGAGCAGGUGUGAUUCUACAAAUUCAAUAUGAGGCACCAGUGGGAGAAGUCAAUUGGAUGAGCACAUGAAAUAUUAGGAGUGCUCGUGAGGGGGAAGUAACAGGUCUAUUGUGUGCAGUGCUGGGCAGGCUGCAUAUGGAGAAUGUGUUAAAAGAGCAUUUGCAAACUUAAGCAUUACUUGAAGAUAUUAAACAGAAUGAUGGAAGCCUGGUCUUUGAUUAUUUAUUGCUGACAUAUGCAUUGCAGUGAUGGCAUUAAUGCCUAAUGAUUAAGCUAACAUGAAUUGACAAUGAACAAGUCAUGCUUUAUAAAUAAAAAAUGCAUGUUGUUUGAUUUGACUCAUUCUUUGUGAACCUAUGCUAGCUUCAUAUUCUUUCUCUCGAUGUCCUAUUUUUUUGGUCUAUAGUUUGUGAGGUUCACCUUUUUCCUCUUUAGAAAAUGGUGAUAGCUUUGCUUUUCAACUGACUCCCCUAAUGUCCACUUUUCUUCAGAGAUUACAGACAAUGGUUUUCCAAAUCUCCUUAUUCUUUUAUUGCCUUAGGAUCUAAUUGCAAGCAGUUGAAAGAUUAAAAUCCUCUAAAGAAAUUAAAUUAUUUCUAAUUAUCCCAUGACCUGUUUUAAACUACAAUUUUCUCUUAAAGAAACUUACCCUCCAUUUUUCUUUUAAAAUUACUCCCUGUGAUAGAGAAAGUAGGAGACAACUGUCUCAAAAAUCUGCUUGCUCCUCUUGAUCUAUUAAAAUACCAUUAAAAAUUUUGGGUUUACUUUGCUGGUGUCAGUUGAUUUUGUGCUUACUAUAAUAGAUCCAUUUGACCCUUUCAUAUUCAUUGAUAUGUACAUGUACUGUUUUUUCCUACUACUGUAGUUUCUCUUAUUCAUUCAACCUCAGUGAGGAAUACAAACAUGAGUCAUGCUCUCAAAGAAGCCUAGAAGUAAGGCUGAGAUAUGUCAACAGUGUUGUAAUGCAAGCCAGGAAGAAACAUGAUAAAAGGUUCCAGUAGCAUGUACUAAGAGUUCAGUAGAUAAGGUUACUUUAGGUGAUUAUGUAUAAAUUUUAAAAAAACUUUCUAUACGGGCUUUAUUUAAGCUGGACUUCUAAAGAAUCCCCUAUCCAAGAAAAUGGUUGGGCCUUAAUAGGUCUAUAAAUUACAUGAAAUUAUAUGUAAUAUUUGGAAAAUAUGUGUAUGCAAUAUAGAAUGUAUAUAUUGUGAUAGAGAGAAAAGGGCAGAAUAAGACUACUAGUAUUCAUCAUAUUCUGAAAGACAUCCACACAGAGUAGUGUUUGGAGAGUUUUGCAACAUUAUUAAAAGAGUAUGAUUAGAAUUACAUUCUCAUUGCUUCCAAAUGUUCAUCAGUGUUUUUGCUUCUCAACAAUCUAAGCAAGCAUGAUGAACUUUUCAUUGAAUUUCUUGAAACAUGCUUUUCCAGAGACUAGAAAACACAUCUGAUUGUUCCUUACUAUUUUGCAAUAUAAUAUGUUCAUUUCCUUCCCCAAAUCUUUUCUUCACCUACAAGUUCACUGAUAAAAAUUAAGCCUAUAAUAUUAUUCCUUUGUUUCCUUUCACUUUCUGGGAAUUGAAACUGUUGUCAUUUUAAAUCAACAAUAAAAUUAUAUUAAAAAUAAGGGGCAGAAUUAGAAUAUGGGCACUAGAUAUCUUAUUAAAAUAACAGAAUACUCAACUUUUUUUUAAUUGUAUGGAGACUGAUGGGAAACUGAAUUCAUACACUGAGAAGAGCUACAGAGAAUAAAAAGAACAAAUUAAUAUGUGCAUUUAGAAAGCAGAGGGAAUAGUAAUAUAAAAAAGGAGUUAAAAACAUAAAAGUAGAGAUAAGUAGUGUUUCACAGAGUUUUCUGUAAGGGUAAGUGCACGAAAAAUGGCAAGAUGGUUUUAAAAGAUUUAGAAUUCACAAAGUAGAAAGUGACAGAAAUUGAACUACUCACUUAAAUUUAAAAAGAGACGGGGGGAUAGAUUCAGCUACUUGAUGGCAUGAAAUCAAAGUACUUGAAUUUUUGAAGUGUAUUUAAAAAUCUAGUAAAGAAUGCCUACAAUUACAAAAGGUAUGAGAUUGUCUUUUUGAGUUUAGUAGAAUAUAAACUGACGACAAAAGACUGACAGGCACCAAAUAAGUAGAGUGUAAAACAACAACAAAAAAAAGAAAGAUAAAUUCAGGUAAUGAUAUUCAAGCAGUAUGACUGCAUAAGAUUGCAUAAGAAAGAAUACAUUUCCAAAUCCAAAACAAUAUCAUCCUGUUGUAUUAUAUGCAUAUAUUGAAUACAAUAACAAAAGUAUCAAGAGUUCUUAUUAAAGCACCCAUUAUCAUUUAUGUAAAAUAUUGCAAGACUUUAAAGUCACAGAACAAAACAUAUUUUUUCCCCAUUAUCUUUUUUGAGAUGAUCACAUUUCUUCACACUUUGUGAACUGCGUAGUUAAGAUGGAGCAAUGAUUUGAACUAUUUGCAAAUGCAGUUCCUUCCCCACUCUUUAUAUACUGUUUGGGCCAUGAAUCUAUGGAAAGAGGUGUUUUACAAGAACGAAAGUCACAUCAUUCAGGACUUUCUAGCAUAAAAUGAUCUAAUAUGCUUAGAUUUAAGUGGUCAGAUUUUGCCCCUUCCUCCCUUUCCUCUCCAUGUUCCCAGAUCAUUUCCAGAGAGAUAAGUAACUAAUUGACAGUGUUGUUUGAGAGUAAAUUCCUGAGUUAUAUAGAAGUUGGAACAAUUAUUCCCUCAUAAAACUAAAACAAAUUCUACAAUAGUUACAUGAAAUGCAGAAGCACAAUCAAUGAACAUUAAUUCUUGACUGAAAUGAAACAGCCCUGGUGUUUUCAUGCAAACUUAGCUGCUAUAAACCUAAAAGAUGCAAUCACCAAAAGAUGUGAAGUCUUGAGGUAAAGAUUAGCACUAUAAAUGCCAUUUGAUAUCAGAUGAAAUAUGCAUUUCUGUACAUGUGUUUAGAAGAAUCUAAGCCCCUAAAACUUCUCCUCACUAACCCCAAGAUGCCUGAAUUUCUCAACAUUAAGUUUUCACAUCGUAAUACAGUUUUCUUUCCUGGUGUUUCCUCUUCUCUCUGCCUAGUAAAGGAUGUUAUAAAAUCGCAGUUCAAUGUUUUUUUCUCUUCUUGUAUUUUCCACUCUGCUGGUUAUGGCCAAUGAGUCAAGAUUCAAAGUGUUCCCAUAUAUAUCUCUGCAGCUCAAACUCUCCAGAACUUGGGCUUGUAUUUCCAGUUACUGGACUUAAGCUGGGCACACCCACAGUGUCCCUGGACUGGGUGAGGAAUGCUGGAAACCACUGCAUAAACAUGAAAAAUCAUUCCGUAAUUUAGGCAAAGUUUGGAGAGAGAGUCACAUUUUAUAAUAGUACAAAUACGAACCUACAAAAGAGUAGAAUCCCAGACUGGGCCAAGAAUGCUGGAAACCACUGGAUAAACAUGAAAAAUCAUUCCAUAAUUUAGGCAAAGUUUGGAGAGAGAGUCACAUUUUAUAAUAGUACAAAUACGAACCUACAAAAGAGUAGAAUCUAAAAUCCACAUGAAUCUUUAGACGAAAACUAGAGAUGAAAUAAAGUUGCUCUUAGUGGGGUUAGGUGAGUAUGUCAUUGUUAGAGACAGUGAUAGAGAAGUCUAAGAAACUCCAUACUGUGCUAAAUAAAUCCACCUUUUAAGUGUGGAUUCCUAUUUUUGUGGGCUUUUGUUUUUUAUUUUACAUUCAAGGGGUACAACUGCAGAUUGGGUUAACAUUUUUGUGUGAAUAUUGAAACAGUUGUGAAAGGAAGUUUAUUAAUAGGAAUGACCAUAAAGACGUUUACAGAUUUCAGCUCUAAUGUCACAAUUUAGGGCAAAGAAGGGUAGCUGUGAAGUUGAAGAGCACUAAGUUAACUGGCACUGACCUCAGUGACACUCCUG
rnacentral:lncRNA from 1 species